GAUGAACGCUGGCGGCGUGCCUAAUACAUGCAAGUCGAGCGCGAAGAUGAGGAGCUUGCUCCUCUGAUUUGAGCGGCGGACGGGUGAGUAACACGUAGGCAACCUACCCCUGAGAUUGGGAUAACUACCGGAAACGGUAGCUAAUACCGGAUACGACCUUUCCACAUAAGUGGGCUGGUUAAAAGGCGGAUUUAUCUGCCGCUCAUGGAUGGGCCUGCGGUGCAUUAGCUAGUUGGUGAGAUAGUAGCUCACCAAGGCGACGAUGCAUAGCCGACCUGAGAGGGUGAUCGGCCAAACUGGGACUGAGACACGGCCCAGACUCCUACGGGAGGCAGCAGUAGGGAAUCUUGCGCAAUGGACGAAAGUCUGACGCAGCAACGCCGCGUGGAGGAAGAAGGUCUUCGGAUUGUAAACUUCUGUUGAUUGGAAAGAAAUGAUAGGGACUAAUAAUCUCUGUAGAUGACGUUACCGAUCUAGAAAGCCCCGGCUAAUUUUGUGCCAGCAGCCGCCGUAA
rnacentral:rRNA from 1 species